AGGAGGAACAACACCAGUGGCGGGGCCAGCUCUGCAGCCCUGGAGUCAGCUCCUGCAGGAACUACUCCGUCUGCAGGGCCUGGAGGCUCCUGGGCGGG
rnacentral:pre_miRNA from 1 species